AUCCGGGCGCACAGUAAAUUGCUCCUCCCGCUUUUCACUGCAACCGUUCAAUGUGGUAAUUUUUUGUGCACUUUUAUCUCUUUGAAACGAGGCAAUGACUUAUGGGACCAGUUGUCUGUGGUACCCACGGGUCGGAGGCAGCCACGCUCGCUCGUUUGAGUCGCCUUCUUUCUCCUACGCGCGUGCGGUAGUAAAAACCCUAGAUCGCGGGACGCCCAAUCCCCGCGUCUCCUCUCCUCCCCAAUCCCCGGUUCUCCUCUUUCCCCAAACCGCCGCCACGAUCGGCGGCGGCUGGCCGUGCGCGCCCUCGAGUUCGUCCAGCCGCGGUUGCCCGCGCGCCCUCGAUUUCAUCCAGCGGCGGGUGGCCGCGCACGCCGGCGGCGGAAGGCAGCAACCGAGCGGCGGCGGCUGCUGGCCACGCGCGCCCUCGAUUUCGUCCAGGCGUCCAGCGGUGGCGGCGGCAGAAGAGAGCAAAAGAGCAGCGGCGGCUGGACGCGCGGUCGCGCGCGCACUCGAUUUGGUCCUCGGCACCCCUCGCGUGGACGAUGGUGGCCGGCCGGCGUCCAGGCCGUGUGCUUCAGCGGCGGCGGCCAUGGAGGAAUCUGGCCGCGCGGCGUUGACCAAGGCUAGGGCUGAGCCGGGAGGUGCUCGAGGAGGUUGACCUCUGCCGGCUCGCCCCGACGUCCAUGGCGACCGGCAUGGGAUGGGCGACCACACUGGCAGAGGCGCUUGCUCAGCGGGAGGGCGGCCACGAAUACCCAUGGCAGCAUACUCUGCGCAACCAGAAGGAGUUGCCGACGAGGACCAACAUGCCUCUCGGUUCUUGAUGGAUUCUGAGGAGGAUAAAAGCAUUCUGGAACAGUAGAGUUAUGGUGUUAUCUAAACCAUUUUCAAGGGGAGGAAGAUGGAUUCAGAGGCGGAUCACUGGGCUAUGAGGGAUGUGGAGUAGAGUACUUGAUGGAUUUCUUGCAAUGUACGGUUAGAUAAACCACAUGGUUGCUUGAAUGAUUCAUGGAAGUUAGAAGCUGGGGUGGUCUCGGCGACGCUCGUUAGCUCAUUCUCGUUCUCUUGGAGGACGGCGUCCUUGUGCGGGUCUCUGCGCUCACGGGAACGCCUCCACGCCCCACUACACGGCCUCCGGUGUCGUCCCGUAGCUUGACCCUCGCUGCCGGCCUGCCGCACGCUUCUCCCAGGCACCACGGUGUUGGGGACGGAGCACGUGACGUCAAGAGGUUUGCUGCAGCACUGCUCGGUCUCGAGGUAGUCUGGGUGAGGCGGGUUCAGCACUUCAGCUCUGAUCCAUGACCUCCUUCAUGCUCCAGAUCAAGCCCUCCAUCAAGUAGAUGCUGCCCCUCUGAACAAGAUUGGAUUUUGAUGAACCCAAGCAGUACUCCUCUCUGCGUUUCUCUCAUUUGUCAGGAGACCCAAAAUGGUUGUACCUUGCAUCUUGGUAUCGUGCAUCUGCUGUCAGGAUUCUACGAUUCUACCUAUGUUCUGCCGGUGCAAUAUUUGGGAUACAGUAUACCUUUUUAAUCUGCGUAUGUCGGUGAGCUGCAAGUGAAUGGCCUGAUUAGUGAUGCACUGGCUCCUUAAAAGUGCAGAAAUGACAUAUAUUGAAAAUUAAUUAAGGAUCAUCUACAUGAUUAUACAUCUAUGAUUGAUUGAGUGUUGUUUCUGUGCAAGUUGAAUUUGCUCUUACACAUCCAUGGCUCCAUGCCCGUGUCUUUUAGUAUUAAAAACUUGUUUCCCUUUGUCUCUGGCCGAAUGUAUAAUUUUUACAGAACUAACUUAUAUUAGCAUUUGAGGAAUACUCGUUUAUAUUUGCUACCUACCUUUAUUUCAAAUAAACUUCUUUCAGAUGGAUUGAUGGUGAACAAUCUGAAUCCCUAACCAUUUACAUGCCUAAAAAUUUUCCAGCUGGACUAUUUCCAUACUAGCAAAAAGUUGGGGAAUUUGCUCCUCCGUCUGUUGAAUAAUGAGCGAGCCAAAAUCAUGUCUAUCUGUUCCCAGGCAGCUAGACCAUAUCUCUGUAAAAAAAAUAGCUAGGUUGUAUAUUGUUUGAGCAUGCACCAAGGCAACCUUGUUUUCUAAUUGAUACCAGAAUAUGUCAAUGCUUGAAGCCAUUGGCUAAAUCAAAGAGGUUAUAGCCCUUUUUCUCUUCUUCACGGGAAAUCAGAUGAGGAGAGUGGCAGCAGUCAGAGGUUGGAGCCCUCUCCAAUGCGUCGAUUUCUAUCCUGAUCAUUUAUACAUACAGCCUGGUUUUUGCUGCUGUGGGUGGGCUUGGACCGGUUUGGUUUUCUGCUAAGGCCCUUUAUACAAAUGAACAUAGUUCAUUCAUCAGCUACGAGGUCCACAGAGAAGAAGAGUAUGUAGCGAGGUUAUUCGUCAAAAGUAUUUUCAAACCAUGGCACAUCUAAUUGGUUAACUUGCAUUUCUCUACCUUGGAUGACACCGGGAUCAUAUGAUCUAGCUAUCUCUUCUCUCACUCUCGUUGCUGUAGGGAAUGGAGGAGGGAGAAUGGAGGAGGAGGGGUGUGAUUGGACCAGGAGAAUCCAUGUGAGGCCGAUCUGGUUCUUUUCGCAUGGGAUUGGAGGCGCUUGAUGGCGGGGUCACGGUGCGGCUGGGGUGUGGACGGCUAGCUUCGAGGAUGGGGUGGGUAGCAAGAGAAAAAUGGGAAAAUGAGAGAUUUUGUGUGCUUUCGUUUGAACCGGGAAUUAUUUUUGGGGUACAUAUUCUGAAAUGAUUGAUGCAAGCCCAUGAUCUUCUCCGAUGAUUCAUGUUUUCCAAGCUUGUUUCCCAUGCAUGAACAAUUAAUAUUAAGGGGUGGCCACAGCAUGGCGGAGCAAUCAGAAACUUCAGAUUUGAUGUGAAGUUGAAGCAUGGGGCGAAAGUAACUUGUGCCCCUUCCCCAUACUGCCUGCAUAUGCAGCUCACGCCCAUGGCCUCACCGUCUAGGGCCUAGAUUUGGAGGAGGAAGAGAAUACCCCGAUGAACAUCGAGUAUGUCUGGCAGUAUUUGUUAUAUUCUGUUGUCAGUAUUUGCUCCUUGGCUAUAUUUGAUAGUAUCUUCUUGUUCAAUAUGUGAGCAGUUUGGAUAAUGGACAUUAUUGUAUUGGAAUGCAGAUGAUUUGAUGGCAUGAUUCUACCUCAUUAUUGUGCAGUGCAUUCAAACCUGCUGUUGCUUUCUUCCAAGCCAGAUUCUUGUGUUUACGGUUGACACCUGCUGGUAGUCCUCCUCAGUCCUAACCUGGACGGUAGUGGAGGCGUGGAUGUUGCAGACGCUGAUGGCUCCGAGGCGCUCGAGCAAAUGGCCCCUUCAUCUCCCAUCAAGUGAUCCAAGGAUGGUAAAAACUUCACUGGCUUCAACAUCACCGCCCGUGUGAGAUUUACAUAUUUUACUUUCGUGUAUGCUGCAAAUCAGUGCUCGAGUACCCCUGUUCUCUGGCCUUUGCUUUUCUUUCAUUCUGCGAGUAUGUGAAAGUUGUGUUUCUAUAUGCACUGUCUGUGGAAUUUGCUUAGUUAGGUUAUACGCUAAACGAAUACGAAAUCAAUAGAUUCGAUAGAUUUGAACUUCAUCAAGGUCCCUGGAAUUCCUUAUCCACUGUGUUGUGCCACAACAUUCUCUUAUGAUCAUUUUCUAAUGAUCUGUAUAACCUAAACCAACACUUUUUAAUUUACACAAGUUAAUUAACAGUGGCACUCGAGGUGUCCUCAGUUUUAAAGAAUUUUGGGAAAGAUUAUUUAUUCCAUAAAACAUAGCCUGAUAGUCAGUUGAUGCCAAAGCAUUAGUGUACAUUGUCGUGUUAGUUGUUCACUUACCUUCAAACAAAGUCCAUGCUUGAGCAUGAGUUUAGUUAGAAUGAAGAGGAAAUUAGAUCUGUCGGUAUCCAUCCUACUGACUACACGUUUAGUUACCUCUGAGGUUGAUCUCCAUCGUAUUUGAUUGCAGGCAGGUAUAUCAGCUCCAUUGCAUGGUGGGUUAUCUCAAAAUGAUCCUUUAGAAGAUUGUGUGGUGACCAACCUUUGCUUUUUUAGAUGAUUGACGAGAUUGUACAUUGGUCUCCAACUGUUGGUUGGCUUGCUGUUUGGGGAUGAUGGCGGAAAACGGCCCUAGCGGUUCGUUGCCUUGUCCUCUUCUCUCUCCCACCAUCCCAACACCAUUCCCUCUCCCACACAUUCUUCCUGAUCUAUUUUUUGCACCGCGUGAGAAGGAGGGGCGGCUUCAGUGGAAGGACUAGGCGGCGUCCAGCGCGUAAGGGAGCAGGCUGGAAGGGCCAAUUUUUUUGGGGGUCUGAUUGUUGUUGUUCUGGGUUGACUACCACAUUAACUGAGUUGUGUCCUCCUGCAAAGUAUGAAACACCAUCAUGUCUCCCUCCCUGUCAAGCACCGCCAAGGCAGCAAAGUGCUAUUCAUAUCUACAUAUUUAUUUUUCUGCAACAGAAAGAAUAAUGGUUUAUAUAGGAAAAGAAGGUUGUGGUUGUUGUAUGGUUCCAAGUCAAAGGAAAGCACAUCAAUUGUUGUAGUUCAUAGGAUAGAGCUUUAUUGGUUGUAGAGUUUGGGGUUUCGAAAUGUUUUGCUGCCUCUGAUAAUUAGCAGUUGUUCAUUUUGUAGAUUGAUUUGGCUUU